AUUUCAAGACCUUCUACCAAAAUUGCAGGUACUUAUCCAUCAUUUUCUUUCGGGUUUAUUGAAAUCUUAGUUGUGGUACUUAUAUUUGUCCAAUGUAUAUAGUCUUAUUUCUGGUAGUUAAAUUAAGUGGUGAUUUUGAUCUUUAUUCGAUUAGUCUCUUCGAGAAAGUAACAAUAUUUUACCUUGACAUGCAGCCAAUCCAAAUUCUAAAAGGUUACUUACCGCAUGCUACCAAUCAAGUGAUCCAUAGAGCCUACAGGCUGCAAUAUGAUUGUAAAGUGAAAACGCGUGGAUACUUUUACUCCUGUAAAUCCUUUAUUUAUUUAUUUAUUUUUACAAAUUUUAGCCACAGAUUCUAUUAAGCAGUUUAAUUUAUUCAACUUUUCUC
rnacentral:lncRNA from 1 species